GUCGCACUAGGUGAUGUAUUCUCUGGCCUUCGGUUCUGCGAGCUGGUGCCUCGAUGGAUUCAUUAACACUAUUAGCUGCUCGAAUGAGUAUGUAUAUAGCCUUUUAUUUUCUUGUUAGGAUCACUUACAAGCAUGUGCAAAGUAAUAACCUCUUAUUCGUAGGCUUUUAGAAGAACGGAGAAAUUAUGUUUUUCCUCACAUCUUCAAGUUAGCUACUGUAUUGCGCAUAGCCUCUUAAGACAGUAAUGCCGUAGGGCUGUAGGGACGGUGUGUGCCGUAAAAAACUAUAAAGAAUGCAUGUAAUAAGGAACACGAGUUUGCCGUAGGACAGAUUUUGAUGCCAUAGCGAGAGGGUUUCCUUCAGGGGACCUGACUCGCGUAAAAGAAGGGAGAUGGCAUGGCAGUGAAAAUGGUUCUAUAUGUUGCUUGAUUUACAAUCAUUAUCUUAUUUUAGUAUGUUACAGUAACCUGUAUCAAUUUUUCUUAUUGACUCGAUUUCUUCAUGGUUAAUAUUUACUAGUAUUUAUUUUUGAUUCUGACUAACAGCAAGGUACACAAUCUCAAUAUAUAAGUUAAAUGUUUGUGUUAUAAUGAAUCAGCGAGGUGGAAAAAUGCAUAAAAUACACAGAGAACUAAAUGUAAACGCACGUAAAAUUAUGCUGGCAGCAGUGUAACUAGACUGGCUUUCAAACCUGGUGGCGACAUAUUAGUUCGAAACAAUGGUAAGUGUAACUGUGUAACAGCAAUGAAAAUUAUAAAGAAGUCCGGGUUGCAAAAGACAAGAGAGCAGGUACAUGUCCAAUGUUAGCUAGUAAUUGCUAAGUGACUGUAAAACUUGACAGUAAAAGCAAUAAUCAAAUAUACUGGGUGAUGAUCACAUUAUAAUAUAUAGACAUAAAUGGUGAUAUAAAGUAGUGGUGCACACAUGGGACAAUAAUAGGACGUGGCAGUAGCAUUAAAUUUAUAAUGUCGUAAUAUAGUAACUAAUUUCAUAUCUAUAAUAUUUUUAAUGUUAUGUGCACAUAAUUAAUAUUUUAACUUUGCUAAAUAGCAAUCUAGCUAGUUCUAGUUUGUCGUAGUAAUAAUUGGUGCUACAUGUAUGAUUGAGGGAUCUAUAGAAAUUUAAUUAAUUCAUAGUCGUGACAGUAAUUGAUGUUACAUAUGUUUGUGUAGGAUGCCUAGAUUUUUUAGUGAUCCGUAGUCGUAGCAUGAAAUAAUGCUACAUAUGUUGGCGUAGGAUGCCCGUAGGAUUUUGAUAAUCCGUAGCCGUAGCAUGAAACAAUGCUACUUAUGUUGGCGUAGGAUGCCCCUAGAGUUUUGAUAAUCCGUAGCCGUAGCAUGAAAUAAUGCUACUUAUGUUGGCGUAGGAUGCCCCUAGGGUUUUGAUAAUCCGUAGCCGUAGCAUGAAACAAUGCUACUUAUGUUGGCGUAGGAUGCCCCUAGGGUUUUGAUAAUCCGUAGCCGUAGCAUGAAACAAUGCUACUUAUGUUGGCGUAGGAUGCCCCUAGGGUUUUGAUAAUCCGUAGCCGUAGCAUGAAACAAUGCUACUUAUGUUGGCGUAGGAUGCCCCUAGGAUUUUAGCAUAUUCAUAAAAAAUAAUGCGAUGAACGAAAUAUGUGAUAGCAUGCAAGGGGCAUAACUGCCAUAUAGUUAGGAAUGAGUUGUGAUUAACACAAAUAACAUCAAUGAUUUCAAGACUAUGUGGUGAUCUAAUAAAAAUAAUCAUAUAUAAUAUUAAAUAGACUAUUUAAAAAAAAAUAUUAUAUAGUGACACAAUAAAAAUGUAUUAAGAGUAUAAAUGACCCAACGCUAACCGCAGUAUAAAUGAUAGGUAUGCAAAAAUACUGUCCAGGAGGAUAAAAGGCGGAUAAAUAUCUAAGACAAAGCUAUAAAAUUGACCUAUGUGUUUGUGUGAGAAAUGUACAUAUGCUGGACAAAAGGUGCUAGCGAAGUAUGAAAAAUAUGAGCUCGACAAUAACUACAUGAACAUAAUUAUAACGAAUGCGACUAUAAAAGAAGCAAUUAAUAACCACGAAUGAUAUUUACUCCCUCUGUCCCAGUCAAUUGUAUACGUUUCUUUUUCACUGCUCGACACGCUUUUUAAGGCACUUAUAAAACAUAGUUCUACAACUUAUUUUUAAGAUUUUCUUUUUCUGUAUAAAAGUAUAAAUGAAAAUAAUUUAUAGAACUAUACUAUAUUGAAGCAUUAAAGUCCGUGUCGCGCCCCCGUCCCCCAAUGUAUACUAUUGACCGGGACGGAGGGAGUAAACAAAUGUGUUAUGUGACCACGUAGUCGGCAAGAAAGUCAAAUAAGCAUGACCAGGGGAUUGUUUUUUCUGAAGUGAGCUGUGAAUUUUUUUGCUGCAACUCAUAAUUAGAAUUAGUUAUUAGUUCAGUUAUUUAUGUAAUAGGCACGUAUAAUAUUUUACGCAAAUUGGUCGUAAAUUGGGUUGAAUUAUUAUUUUAAAGAAGGCUUCUAAAAGUGGUUAAUAUUACAACUUAUGUAUUACUUCGCAGGUGGUGCCAACGACUUUUCGGAUGAUAACAAGCUGGGACAGCGGGGUUCUGGACAUGUUUAUAAGAGGAUAUAUAGUGCGGAUGAAAGACUAUGUAUGCAUGUAGUAAACUAAACUUCUAUACCUGAAUAUAUGCGAAGGUGACAAAUAUAACACAGUUUGAAUAGUUGAUAGUUUUAGACUUGUAAUAAAUAACAGAUUAUGUAAUGCACGAUGUCCAGUACUACAUUAAAGCUUAUAAAUAAAGCCGCCCAUUUAUGCUAGAAUAUAUACCGAGGUGAAAGAUAGAAAAGUGAGCGAGAGCUGAAGCUCUUUUGUGUAAAAGCUCUUACUUAUUUAUCAAAUAUAUAGUGUAACCUUUUCAUAUAAAAGGUGUGUUUAUUUAUACGGUUCAUGUAUAUGUAUAGUAGUUAAUCAAAAUAAAUUUGAUCAAAACCUAUCAUGUAAACAGUUUAUACAUGAAUAUAUAAAGGAUAGAGGAAAAAGAGCUGUAGCUCUGGUGAGACAACAAAGGCUGUAGCUAGCCUAGUG
rnacentral:lncRNA from 1 species